AAUGGAGAUGGAGCUUUUCUCCAUGAUAAUUAUGAACAAAUGCCUAUGGAAAUUGAAUUCCCUGAAAGUAGAAAACGGGGAGCUCUCGGGGAGUCUUCGCUCGGAGUUCGUUUCGCAGUCGUGUUGGGGUUCCCAGAGUCUGGGAGCCCAUGGUCUCCGCAUUGGAACCGGCGCUUGGGAGGUCUUCGUUGCACAGUAGCGCUAGGGCGUCGUGGUGGGGAAGCGAAUCGUGUCAGUGUUGGAGACUGCUCUGGGCAGUUCGUGUUCAUUGCUUAUCACAUGCGUACUU
rnacentral:lncRNA from 1 species